GGUCCCUUCGUCUAGGGGUUAGGACAUCAGAUUUUCAUUCUGGGAACAGCAGUUCGAGCCUGCUAGGGACUA
rnacentral:tRNA from 1 species